GCAGACCCUCCCUCCAAGACCCUCCUACUUCCUGGACAGCAUAUAUGUUGUCCAGGAAGUAGGAGGGUCUGGGAGGGAGGGUCUGCUGGAGAU